GCUCUUUCGAGAGGCAAUACGUCUCGAGUAAUCGAGGUGAGGAAAGUCCGAGCUACCAGCGAAUGCGCAUUUACGGCUAACGGCCGCUCCGUGAUUUGGUAACAUUUCAUGAGGGAAAGUGCCACAGAAACUAUACGGCGUCCCGCUUUGCGGGAAAACCGGUGAAAAGUCCUUUUAAGUUAGGAAAUCUAAGGCGCAAGCUUUAGAAGUUGGAAAACCCAAGUGGGUAGCUAGGCGGGUGGCCCGGAGAGUGUUAGUUUGCAUUCCAACGUUGAUCACGUUCCGGUUCCGUCGCUCGAGGUGUUUAGUAAUAAACAUCCCAGAUAAAUUUUGCCUGAAAAACAGAACUCGGCUUACCAGAGAGAGAGCCCCU
rnacentral:RNase_P_RNA from 3 species